rnacentral:piRNA from 1 species
UCGUUGCUGUCACCCAUUUCACUUCCCUCU